rnacentral:rRNA from 1 species
CUUUUUACUCCUACGGGAGGCAGCAGUGGGGAAUAUUGCACAAUGGGCGCAAGCCUGAUGCAGCGACGCCGCGUGAGGGAUGACGGCCUUCGGGUUGUAAACCUCUUUCACCAGGGACGAAGCGCAAGUGACGGUACCUGGAGAAGAAGCACCGGCCAACUACGUGCCAGCAGCCGCGGUAAUACGUAGGGUGCGAGCGUUGUCCGGAAUUACUGGGCGUAAAGAGCUCGUAGGCGGUUUGUCGCGUCGUCUGUGAAAUUCUGCAACUCAAUUGUAGGCGUGCAGGCGAUACGGGCAGACUUGAGUACUACAGGGGAGACUGGAAUUCCUGGUGUAGCGGUGAAAUGCGCAGAUAUCAGGAGGAACCACCGGUGGCGAAGGCGGGUCUCUGGGUAGUAACUGACGCUGAGGAGCGAAAGCGUGGGUAGCGAACAGGAUUAGAUACCCUGGUAGUCCACGCCGUAAACGGUGGGUACUAGGUGUGGGGCUCAUUUCACGAGUUCCGUGCCGUAGCUAACGCAUUAAGUACCCCGCCUGGGGAGUACGGCCGCAAGGCUAAAACUCAAAGGAAUUGACGGGGGCCCGCACAAGCGGCGGAGCAUGUGGAUUAAUUUGAUGCAACGCGAAGAACCUUACCUGGGUUUGACAUACACCAGAAAGCUGUAGAGAUAUAGCCCCCCCCU